rnacentral:rRNA from 1 species
GUCCAUGCCGUAAACGUUGGGAACUAGGUGUGGGUCUCAUUCCACGAGAUCCGUGCCGCAGCUAACGCAUUAAGUUCCCCGCCUGGGGAGUACGGCCGCAAGGCUAAAACUCAAAGGAAUUGACGGGGGCCCCGCACAAGCGGCGGAGCAUGCGGAUUAAUUCGAUGCAACGCGAAGAACCUUACCAAGGCUUGACAUACACCGGAAACGUCCAGAGAUGGGCGCCCCGCAAGGUCGGUGUACAGGUGGUGCAUGGUUGUCGU